UACGUAGGUGGCAAGCGUUGUCCGGAAUUAUUGGGCGUAAAGCGCGCGCAGGCGGUCUCUUAAGUCUGAUGUGAAAGCCCACGGCUCAACCGUGGAGGGUCAUUGGAAACUGGGAGACUUGAGUGCAGAAGAGAAGAGCGGAAUUCCACGUGUAGCGGUGAAAUGCGUAGAGAUGUGGAGGAACACCAGUGGCGAAGGCGGCUCUUUGGUCUGUAACUGACGCUGAGGCGCGAAAGCGUGGGGAGCGAACAGG
rnacentral:rRNA from 1 species